UACGAAGGGGGCUAGCGUUGCUCGGAAUCACUGGGCGUAAAGGGUGCGUAGGCGGGUCUUUUAAGUCAGGGGUGAAAUCCUGGAGCUCAACUCCAGAACUGCCUUUGAUACUGAAGAUCUUGAGUUCGGGAGAGGUGAGUGGAACUGCGAGUGUAGAGGUGAAAUUCGUAGAUAUUCGCAAGAACACCAGUGGCGAAAGGCG
rnacentral:rRNA from 1 species